UUUGGAGGUUCUGUGCACUCAAGUAGUCAUGUACAAACCAAGGCAAAACUGCAUGUGAGAAGCCCAGGGAAUUGGGAGAGAGGGGGUGGCAGAAGCAUCCCUUUCCUCAACAGCCCCCUUCCCCAGAGUCUCCCACCUGGAGUCCUGCAAGGCCAGAUGUGAACCUUGAGGAGCUCCUGUGCUUGGAAUUGCUAGGAAACCACCAGGGUUUCGGGAUGACCCUCAGAGUCGUCAGGGAGAUGGGGGAAACAGUACAUGUGUGUGUGUGGGGGGGGGUGCUCCUGGACGGGAUGAUCUUUGAGGGCCAAGAAGACUCAGAGGCCAGGAAGCCUGGAACUGGGAAGGGGGCCUGUCCCCACUUGAUGGGAAGUUACUUGGAGCAGAGGGUCUCAGGUGGAGCUGCGGAGUAUCACAGAGCCCUCUUGGGAAGCACGAGAAAUAGUUAUGUAUUCAUUUCUAUCACACAGUCUAGGAAACAGUCAUGCCCAAAGGAAACAUGGCAAUAUGCCCCACUGCCAGCCCAUGAUGGAAAGGGCAUGGCUCCGUUGCUGUAAGAAGAGUCUAGGGUGGUCCCAGCUUCAAGCUGGCCCUAGGCACUCAGAUGUCAUCAGAGCCUCUCUCCAUACUUGGUGGCCUUACCCCCUCCCCGCCCCCCCAGCAGUGAGCUUCCUUUAUGCAACCAGCAGCUCCAACACCCUAAAGGGAAGACCCAGCCUCCUCCAGAGGCAGCACCAAAGUCUGGGAUCACAUUCCCAUCCCUGAACCAGUCACAAUGGUCAGGAAUAUUCUGACUGGCCUGACCAUGGGUCACUGUGCACUUCCAAGGGCUCCCAAUAUCAGGCCCACUGGGGAAUCUCAGGCCCUCAAAACAGGCCUUGCUCCCUAGACCCGCAUAGCAGGCUGUUUCUGAGCUUCUCUGUUAAAAUCAAAUACAUACUUGAUUUUUUAAAUUUUGCUUUCUGCUAGUCUUUUCUAGUACAAAUGAUAGCAAGCACAAAGUUGUCCUCUUGUGGUGGUAGUGAUUUUUAACCAAAGGGAAAAAAUAUUUUCAUCAAAAACAUUCUUUGCAAUAGGACCAUUUCCCCCUGCAAACUGAGAAAAGACCACCAUUGUGUGGUUUUCUAGUGCCUUAGCAUACUCAGGGACACCGAUGUUCCACAGGAACAUGUUUUGAGAAUCUUUUUUUUUUUUUUCCUCUAAAUAAUAGGGACGCCUGGGUGGCUCAGUGGUUGAGUGUCUGCCUUCGGUUCAGGUCAUGAUCCGAGGGUCCUGGAAUCGAGUCCUGCAUCAGGCUCCCCGCAGGGAGCCUGCUUCUCCCUCUGCCUGUGUCUCUGCCGCUCUCUCUCUCUGUCUCUGCCGCUCUCUCUCUCUCUGUCUCUCAUGAAUAACUAAUAUCUUGAAAGAAAAGAAAAAAGGAAAAGGAAAGAAAGAGAAAGAAGAAAAGAAGGAAGAAGAAA
rnacentral:lncRNA from 1 species